rnacentral:piRNA from 1 species
GCACAUCUGAGAAUUCAUACUGGAGAGA